rnacentral:rRNA from 1 species
CGCAUGUUUGUGGGUGGAAAGUUUUUCGGCUUGGGAUGGGCUCGCGGCCUAUCAGCUUGUUGGUGGGGUGAUGGCCUACCAAGGCGACGACGGGUAGCCGGCCUGAGAGGGCGACCGGCCACACUGGGACUGAGACACGGCCCAGACUCCUACGGGAGGCAGCAGUGGGGAAUAUUGCACAAUGGGCGGAAGCCUGAUGCAGCGACGCCGCGUGAGGGAUGACGGCCUUCGGGUUGUAAACCUCUUUCAGCAGGGACGAAGCGCAAGUGACGGUACCUGCAGAAGAAGCGCCGGCCAACUACGUGCCAGCAGCCGCGGUAAGACGUAGGGCGCGAGCGUUGUCCGGAUUUAUUGGGCGUAAAGAGCUCGUAGGCGGCUUGUCGCGUCGACUGUGAAAACCCGUGGCUCAACUGCGGGCCUGCAGUCGAUACGGGCAGGCUAGAGUUCGGUAGGGGAGACUGGAAUUCCUGGUGUAGCGGUGAAAUGCGCAGAUAUCAGGAGGAACACCGGU